rnacentral:lncRNA from 1 species
AACCCCUCCUGCUUUCACACUCGAACCCCAGCAUAGUGUAGCUGCCAGUUCCCGCAUCACUGGAUGCCCGUGCGUGAGGGUGCUCAGAACAGAGUGGGGGCCAUUCACGGCCUGCACGCUGCCUUCUGCACUAUCGCCUGCCUUUGCUGGUUCAUGAGCAUACCCCUCGACCCGGAUGCACCCUUACUCUCAACUGCUUCUCAUUGCGCCAUCAUCCUGGCCUCACGCCUCAACAACUGGUCCACAUUCUUGUUUCACCGCUCUCUCCACCACCCAGGCCGUGUUGUGUUGUGCCUACAUAGCAUUCCUACCUUCCGUCCUGCCUCUCCAACCCUUAACCAGUCCUCGCCAGCAGACUAUCACUGU